GUGCUCACUUCAGCAGCACAUAUGCUAAAAUUGGAAUGGUACAGAGAAGAUUAGCAUGGCCCCCACACAAGGAUGACAUGCAAUUACAUUUGGAGACUUCAACACCUCU
rfam:Canis lupus familiaris chromosome X, whole genome shotgun sequence.